rnacentral:sRNA from 1 species
UCUUCUAAAGCUAAAUAUUGGCCAGAGACCGAUAGCGCACAAGUAGAGUGAUCGAAAGAUGAAAAGCACUUUGGAAAGAGAGUCAAACAGCACGUGAAAUUGUUGAAAGGGAAGCGCUUGCAGCCAGACUUGCUUGCAGUUGCUCAUCCGGGCUUUUGCCCGGUGCACUCUUCUGCAGGCAGGCCAGCAUCAGUUUGGGCGGUAAGAUAAAGGUCUCUGUCACGUACCUCUCUUCGGGGAGGCCUUAUAGGGGAGACGACAUAUUACCAGCCUGGACUGAGGUCCGCGCAUCUGCUAGGAUGCUGGCGUAAUGGCUGUAAGCGGCCCG